UGAUAAAAUAAGCUAAAUUUAAGCUGUUGGGUUCAUACCUCAAAAAUGAGUAUUCUCUUUUAUU
rnacentral:tRNA from 1 species